CAUGUUCAAACAUUAAAUAGCACUGAACUGGUAAAGACGGCCACAUUAUUUAAAUCCAGCAUCAUCUAAUAAUGCCAUCUACAACUUUGUACAUUAAUAAAAAUAAAUUGAAUGUGUAAUUUUAUGCGAUAUCAACAUUGGAACAUUUGAAUUUGCUCAUUCUUGAAAAGAUUGCAUGGAGAGAGAUAACAUUAAAUAGUAAAUGAAUGACCUUUUUAUUAUCAGUAGGGUAAAUGCGAUCCAUCAU